rnacentral:lncRNA from 1 species
AGGCUCUUGCUUAUCCGGUAAUGGUUAUCUUCAUGUAAGCUAAAAACAUUAUCAGUACCCAGACCUUCCAGAGAUGUGAUCAUACUACCUACGGGAAGGAACUAACAUAUUCAAGCUUACUUCUGGCUGUGUCACUGACCCAACAGAGGCCAGUAGGUCCAGCAUGGCAAGCAUGGCUCCAGGAUGAAUGAUGACUGCAUCAGAACUCUGCAGAGAUGAAGUUGUCACAUGUAGUUUCAGGUCUGAGAAGCAGCCAAGAAAUCGAACAGCAUCUGCCAACUUCUCAUACUGAAUCUCUGUUUUGAAGAAAUGAGAGUUGGCUGGCUCAUAGCGCAUUGCUGCAGUCAACGUGCAGAACACAGUGUGAAGAAGUUCAAACACUUGAUUCUGGUUCACUUUCUCCCAGCCAUUCUUGGGUGGACAGCUCAAAGAUCUUUCCAUAGCAACGAGCAAGGAUGUAAUGUACACAAAUCCUCCAACUUUCCUAAAAACUGUUCUUGAACGAUGGCUUUCUCGAAGGACCGACAGGAGGGCCUACAGGAGACAAAAGAAAAAACAAAUGAAAAUACACAUAAUUCAAAAAAAAAAAAAAACCACUAUGCAUGUAUAUGGAGGUUGUACAUUCUGUGAAUCUGACAUGUUUUUAUCAUUUACCCAAUAAACGGUCCUAUAAAGCAUA